rnacentral:sRNA from 1 species
UAUUCUGCCCUACAGGGAAGGAUGAGAAGCUUCGACUAAGGUUCGACUCGAGCGAAGCGAGAGAACGUUGCCGCAGGCAACGGCC